rnacentral:rRNA from 1 species
UGAGGGAAUAUUGGGUCAAUGGGCGCAGGCCUGAACCAGCCAAGUCGCGUGAGGGAGGACGGUCCUACGGAUUGUAAACCUCUUUUGUCGGGGAGUAACGUGCGGGACGCGUCCCGUAUUGAGAGUACCCGAAGAAAAAGCAUCGGCUAACUCCGUGCCAGCAGCCGCGGUAAUACGGAGGAUGCGAGCGUUGUCCGGAUUUACUGGGUGUAAAGGGCGUGUAGGCGGAGAUGCAAGUUGGGAGUGAAAUCCAUGGGCUCAACCCAUGAACUGCUCUCAAAACUGUAUCCCUUGAGUAUCGGAGAGGCAAGCGGAAUUCCUAGUGUAGCGGUGAAAUGCGUAGAUAUUAGGAGGAACACCAGUGGCGAAGGCGGCUUGCUGGACGACAACUGACGCUGAGGCGCGAAAGCGUGGGGAGCAAACAGGAUUAGAUACCCUGGUAGU